UCCAGGGUCCAAAACUUGUUGCUUAUGCCAGGCAAUUUUAGCCUAAAGUCAACAAAAUCACAAGUAUUUCAGUUUACCCCGAGAGAAGGAAAGAGAAAUGAAGACCCAAAGCUUAUUCAACUGUUUCUCCUUUUAUUUGUUAUAAAACCAACAGCCUCUCUAAAGAACAUAAGUUUUUAAAAUAUUUUGCCUUCUUUCUCUGUGAUGUAACUAAGUAAAAAU